CCCAAAUCUGAAGCUUUCCAUCUCGAAGUCGUGAUGGGUUUCUUCUCAAUCAAUGUCGCUUAGUAUGAGAAAUGAAUUGACUCUGUUUGGACGCACUACAGGACUUUUCACCGCUGACAUGAAGCUUCAUCUUCACAAGCUUAUCGAACAUGAGUGAUGAUGGAUCAGGCUGCCUGCCUUCCUUUUGAGUUUAUCUUGAGACGUCUGAUGUGGUGUAGUUCCCGUUGCUCACCCUUGCCGCUUUCCAUGUUGUUAGCCUUAGAUGAGCAGCUGAUUAUCUUGACAUGAAUCUUGUGUUGGUUUAGCUUAGACUUUCCUCAACCAAAUGUUUGGGACCUGGACCGAUUCUCUCAAGUCUCUUCAGACAUGUGCGCAAGAGUUUGAUUACACUGAAGAUCUUCACACUCUCUCUAGGACAAGGCCAAGAAGCCUCAAGGUGUGGCUAUGGGAAGGCUCAUACUCAGUGACAACGGAGACAUGCAGAGUGAUGCUUAGUUGGAAAAAUAAAAUAUGCAGCUUGUAUGUACAGUAUAAAGUUAGCACAGUGACAUAUUCUGAUAGUCUUUUGAUCACAGCGAAUUAUGAAACUUCUGCUACAAGAUGUCAAGUUUGACACGAGGAAUAAUGAGAGUUUGCUAUAUAUCGUUGGUGUGCUAAUACUGGUUUGAGUUGGUUCAGUUUCGAAUGAGCAAAAGCGAGUUUCAGAAUUUCAGUGGUUGGGUUUGUCUAGUAGCGCACAUUUGUGGAGACUGUUAUCUGGAACUAGGGUUGAAGCUCUUGCUAAGAGAUGUUAAGAGAAAUAGAUGGUAUAAAGCAACAAACAUUCAAGCUCCAGCUGGGAAGAUUCAGAGGCUUCUGGUUUUGGUUUCCAGUACAUAUGAGAAGCUUACUUGCCCCUGAAACUGCAGCAGCAAGAUUGGCUCUGACUAACUAUACAUACCAGGUGCGGGUAUGGAGAGAAGUAAGAUCAAUCCUACAAAGACUGAUGGUAUAAAGAUCUCAGUGGAGAUGAUCCAAGCAAGCAAGAGACCUUGGCAGGUUUAUGGUCAUACCAGACAUUCUCAAGCAUACUCCAAUGUUCAAGCGCUUAGAUGCUAGAAUCAAGGUUUUACUCAAGGAAUCACUUCUCAACACCCCCUCUUGAUUCCUUGAGUUGUUGCCUCGGUUCCAGCUCAGAAUUUUAAAGUUUGAUACCUUUGAAGUGCCUCUGUUUUCUCCUUUGCUUAUUGAAGGUAUGCUCAUAAGAACACUUGCAUAGCUCCUUGUUGCUUUGCUGAGAAGUCUCUUUGUCCUAGCUCCUUCUUGCAGACUUGUGGCUUGACAUACACAGGGGAAUUUGUGAACGUUGAGUAUGAUGAAUUGAUGAUGGAGGUAUGAAACCUGAGCGGCCAUCUGGUAGAGGGAGAGGUGGAGGAUGUGGUGGUCAUGAAAGAGGAUGUUACAGUGGACCUCCACCAUACUAUGAAGCUCAACAAGAUGGAGGAGAUUAUGGAUA